UCUUCAGCCUACGGAGCUCAGCAGGUGAAACUGGCGCUCGCCAUCUUUGUGGUAAGGAGGCUGGGUGUGGGGACGGGGUCGGGGGAGUCUGGGCGGCCCUAGGCUGAUCCUGCUUCUCUGACAGAUCUGCCAGCUCGGCAACUUCUCCAUCCACAUGGCCCUGCGGGACCUGCGGCCCGCUGGUGAGUGCCUGCUGGGGGCAGGGGGACAGCUGGGCUGGGUGAGGGGGUCUGACUUUCUCCUUCUGUCCUGCCUGCCAGGGUCCAAGACCCGGAAGAUCCCAUACCCCACCAAGAACCCCUUCACGUGGCUCUUCCUGCUGGUGUCCUGCCCCAACUAUACCUACGAGUGGCCCUGUUCUCCCUGGUGGGCUUCACCCAGAUGACCAUCUGGGCCAAGGGCAAGCACCGCAGCUACCUGAAGGAGUUCCGGGACUACCCGCCCCUGCGCAUGCCCAUCAUCCCCUUCCUGCUCUGAGCGCUCACCCCUGCUGGGGCUCAGCCCCUCACCCCGGUGGUAUUCUGGGGGAGGAGUGGGGCCCACAGCUCUCCAGCACCCGGAAUAAAGCCCGCCUGCCCCAGUCGGA
rnacentral:sRNA from 1 species